ACUAUCACACCCGGAAGUGGGCUUCACCCCUCGGCAGGCUUCCUGCGGUCCGUUCAGCAGCGGCUGACAGCCAGGCGUUGGCCCGGGCGGGGUCUGCUGCCCCUCUGCUGCCGGCAGGGUGGGCUCCGGGUAACCCAGGACGGCCUCCCCACGGUUGGGCCUCAUUUUAUCCCAGCCACAGGGGCCCGUCGCCCCCAAGCGACCGCCGACCUCCACCCUCCCGGUGCGACCUCGCGCGGCGCCAGCGUCCUCCGGGCGGGCCUUCCCGCCCUGGCCACGUGACCUGCAGGCUGCCGCACCGGUGACCCGCACGGGCCCCGCGAACCGACUCGGGUGCCUCACGCUCAAGCCCGCGCACCCCAGCUCCCGCGUGGGAAGCGUGACGACGCUCGGCUACUCGGCGCAGAUCAGCACCCGGCCAGCCCCGGCCAGCACAGACCCGAGGGCAGUGGUGCCCGCGCCCAGUCGCGCUGGGAUGCGUGCAGAGCGGCAGGUGGCGUCCAGGUCAGAGGGUCCACGGCCCUCCACUCCCACGUCCCCGUGUCCACCUUCUCCUGUCCGGUGCGCCUCCCAUGCCACCUUGAUUGGCUGCUUAGCUUCCCGUCGGUCUCUCCUCCUGCCUGCCUUCCUGCCAUCUAGCUUUCCUCUUUGCGUUUUUCCAGGGAUGGAUUUUCCAUCUAUUUAUAUUCAGAGUUGGUGGCAGUUAAUCUAAAGGGUCUCAUCUCACUGUGUAGCCCAGGCUGGCCUUGAACUGGCAGAAAUCUUCCUGCCUCAGCCUUCUGGGUUCUGGAAUGAUAGGCAUGUGCCACCACAUGAGUAGUCUUUUAAUAUAUAUGCAUAGAUAUGGUCUGAGAGUUUUAUCUUUUAAUUUCUGUUAAUACCUUAGCUGCUGCCCUUAAUUUGUAUGCUGUGGGUAGCGCCUGCAUGGCUUCCUGCCUACUGCCCUUGCUUAGGCCCUUCCUCCUCCUCCACCUCCCCUGAACUUUCGUGCUCUGACCGCACUGUGCCCACCUGUGUGCUGCGUCCUCCCUCCCUCUGGCCCGUGUCCCACCCCUCCCAGCACUGCCUGGCCCCUCCAAACCUCCCCUGCCUUCUCUUGGGCAGUUCCCAUUGCCUGCUACCUGCAUUGGCUGACCAUCCCUGCAGGGCCCCUUCCUCAGCCGGCCCUGGCUCCCAGGUGCCCUGUCUGAGAGGAGGAGGCAUCUCGUCCAGUUUCGAGGCUGCAGUAGAUGCUCUCGAAUCCCAGUGGUCCCCAGUGCGAAGCAGACUCCGCGAACGUGUGUGGACUGGCUGGACGGACAGGUAAGAGCCAGGGCAUCGCAGAGCCUGACCUCGAAAUGGGCCGGGCCUCCUCCUGGCCGGAACCAGCUCCUGCUCGAUCCUGAACCAGGUGCCUGGGCAGCUGUGGGUCAGGCCAUGAGGGGCCAUCAGGAUUACAGCACCUCCCACUUCUCACCCCCAGACAAAGAGGAACAGACUUGGGGACCUCAAAGCUUUAUUUUGUACUCCACUUGAGGGAGAGCAUCAGAGGACUCUGCAGGGCAAACAUCGCCUGAAUAGUUCACAAAACUGCACCACUGGAUACUUCAAGAGCCCCCUCUGGAAACAUGCAGAGGUCAUUUAACAUGGAAAUCUCUAUAAAUUCACACGCACAUAUUUCUGAGGGCAUGUGGAAGAAAUCCCACUCGUGUAUAGGACCAGGACGGAAGCCCUCUCCUCUUUCUCGCCUGUCCUCUCCUUCCCUUGUAUGUGCUCUAAACCUCUCUGUGGUGAUGUCACUGUUAGGAUUUGGAAGCUGAGGCUCCUGUCACUGUGCUCUACCACAGGCCCCGCUUGUCCUCAGUUCCUGGGGCAACAGGAGUAGGGAUGGCCUGAGGAUGGCCACGGUUACAUCUGUGCUGCCCUUUCCUCUCCAGUGCCCCACCUCCAAACUGCUGUCCUCCCUCCUCUGUGAGCAGCCAGCAGCCUUCUGGAGGAUCAGCAGAUGAAUAGCGUCCCAUCUCCUGGCCCACACCCUGAGCCAUCCAUGUUCACAACCCAUUCCAGGGGGAAGAGAAGGAGGUCCACACAGGAAAUCCUCCCCAGUCAGGGUGGGAUUCACCACAGCCCUGCAGCUGUCCGGGGGCUGCUUAGCACCUCAACUGCCAUGAGACUAACAUUCAUUCAGCUGCUCUCUGCCUCAGUUUCCCUCAUAGUCCAUGAGGGCCAUAGGGAACAUGGGUGCUGUUGUCAAGGAGAGAAUGAAGGGAAGGUGUCCACAGCAGAGCAAGCACUCCCAUAGGGGUUUGUCAGAGAAACAAAUGGAGCACUGGCUUAAACCCAGGACAUUUGCCUCUAGACCUGGGAUCCCUUCCCUUUAACCAUGUUCUCCAGACAGAGGUGGCCACGUCCUGAGCACCCGGAACAAACGCUGCCGACUUGGACCAGCCAUUGCUGAGCUGCCAGAACGGGGAGCGGGGUGCAUGGGGCUCAGUGAAACUCAUUCACCCAUCAGUGAUGCCUCCCUCAAGCCCAGAAUGGGAAAAUGCCCAAAGGCAAGCAGAUCUCUGCCCAGAGGGUGCACUUUCCUUCACCAUGUGACAGUUAAGCCUAAUUGUCAACUUGUAGCUUGGGAGCCAUCCAAGGGAUUAAUAAUUCACACUUCUGGGUGUGUCCAGGUGGUUAUGGAGGAGACCUUGGGUACUAUGUCUGGUCCCUGGCCCUCCCUGUCUGGCACUGUUCCCUGCCCUGUUUCCUGGCCAUCAUAAACUGAGCAGUAAUCUUCCGCUAGGCCCUUCCACCAUGAUGUCCUACCUUGGAGUAGCUGCCCUUGGACUGAAUCCCCUGAAACCAUGAGCCAUACUAAACCUCUCCUUCAGGUUGUGAGUGUCGAGUGUGCUUUGGUGAUCAGAAAGCUGACUAACACAACCAUCAGGCCUCAUCUCCAGGGAUGGGAGGACUGUAGUCUCCUUCUCCCUCGCUCCCCCACUCAAUGACACAUCUAUGACAAUGGCAGAUCAGGUGUCACCACGACAGCAUUCUCUUCUGGAUACCCUAACUGUACUGCAGCUUUCCUAACACCUCAAGGACUGAGCGGUUCUCACUGGGGAUAAAACCUGUGCUUCAGGAGCUCCUAAAGGAAAGGUUAUUUCUCUGACUAAACACUUGGCUUCCUUUCGUGCAUUCUUGACUAAUGUUAGUCACCAUCAUGAGCUUAAACUCUUGACACAGUUUUUAAGUUUUUACAAAUCACUUGGAAGGCUUUUUCCUGUCUCGAUACACAUUGCAAAACUAAAAACUUCCACUUUGAGCUGGCGUCCAGGAGAAAGUACAGGUCCAUUGCAAUACUGCAGGAGUCUGCUUCCCGAGCUACCCGUGGACACGCAGGAAGAGCACGGUGUAAGCUGACUUGCCCCUCCCUUGGAGGACCCACCCAGGGCAGGCUCCCUCCUGAGCCAAGGGCCAGGGCACAACUGACCGGCACUUCCCAUAUUCAUUUAUCCAGUCAGCCUCUCAAAAUCUUUGUGUUUGCUUUUGGCGACAUCCUGGAGGAGAGGUUUCAGGUUUUGACCUGAUUCUCACAUCAAAGCCUCCCUGGGUCCUGCCAGGUGUUUCCAACAGGAGGGAAGGUGCGGGGAGGACUUGAAGCUUAGAUGGCUCAGAAGGGGACUGAUUCAAGGAGGGUCCAUAAGGGAGGCUGGUGCUGCCUUAGGGCUGAAAGGUGCUGGAAUUUGGGCAAAAGUUGAGAGAAAGGCUGGAGCUGACUGCAAAUAGAAGUCACCUGAGAUCACCAGAAAGGAGUCAUUUUGUUAGCUCUGAAGAAAAUAGCAAUCACACAGCCAAGUGAAUUAGGUGAGCCGGAAGUGGGGUCCAAGACCUACUUAGAAGGCCCUUGCACACCUGGCAAAGGCAGUUGGCAUGUACUGUGGACAUUAUAAAUCUGAGAGUUGUGUCUGUUUGUUUUGUUUUGUUUCACGGGAGAAUGUCCUGACUAAAACUGUGGUUUGAUAGUAAUUUGAUAAGGGUGAGAACAUUGGUUUUGAAAAGAGAGGAAUUACAAGGCAAUUUAAAGCCAGAUGGGGGGAAGUCCCCAAAAGGAGCCCAGAGUUUGCCUGACCUAACCCCCAGCGUCCACAUGGUGUUAGCUGUGUCCCGCAAGAGGAAGCAGGAGACAGGUGGGGCUCAGGAGUGUUGAGGCCCUGCCACACCGGGCAGGGACAGAGGCAGGCAGUGGUAUGGGUGGGGCCUGAGGGCAGGGGAGCGAGGAGGAGGACACAAUGCUGCCCUCUUUGCUGAAAGAGAAGUCCCACCUGGCGCUGCCGGGCACCACCCUCAGCCCGGGCAGCUGGUACCAGCACCGGGGCACCCUGCAGUCAUCCCUGCCCACCCAGCAUCCUCCGUCUGCAGGUCCCAGUGUCCUUCACACAGCCCCAGGCCAUCUUGCCAUGACACCUGCACCUGAGAUCCGUCGCUUAGCCGCUUCACACCCCGUUCCUUCAGCCCAGGUGACAGGUGUCUGCCACCCUCACCCUGGAUGUCCUCCAUUCUGUGUCCAGGAGCCUGGCCCCGCCAUGGUCUCCCCUGGCUGUUUGGAGGACCACCUCAGGAUGCUCGGGCUGGGGACAGCACCUUCUCCUCCCCCGUGACUGGAACAUGAGGAGCACACCGAAUGGCAUGGCUGUUUAGUAGCAACAGGGUGCUGAAUUAAUGCGGGGACACCAUAGAGGGAAAUCCCACCCCUCUGACAACACAGAGCCCGCGUCUGUGGACAGUUUUCGCUCCAGUGGCGAUGAAGACUUACAAACCGCUACUGACAAUCAGGUGGCAAGGUCUUUGUAAAAGGGGCAGCAUCAAAUAAUAACAAAUGCUGGCCAGGCUGCAGGGAAAAGGAACCCUUCUAACGUGGUUGGUUGUGAUGUAAACUGGUACCACCACUGUAGAAAUCAGUGUGGAGAUUCCUCAGAACACUAAAACUAGAAAUCCCACUUGACCCAGCUAUCCCCCUGUAGGUGUCUUUCUGAAAGAGUUAAAGACAUCUUGACUCAGUGAUCCAUGCACACCCAUGUUUACAGCAGCACACAACUCACAAUAGCUAAAUCUUGGGAGUAGCCUAUAUGUCCAUCAGCAGGUGAAUGGAUGAAGAAAAUGUGAUAUUUAUACACAGUGGAGUGCUACUCUCCCAUAAAGAGGGACAAACAAGGCAUUUUUAGGAAAAUGGAUGCAUUUUGAGAUAUGAUAGUCAACGAAAUAAGUUAGACACACAAGCUUAAGUAUCCCAUGGUUUCUCAUUAAGAAACUCAAAACUUAAAUUUCAUAUGUAUAUAUAUUUAGAGAGAGAGAUGGAGAUGGGAGAGAAGGAAGGGAGAGGGCAUGGAAAGAAAGAACUGAAGGGGAAAAUGCUAAAAGUAGAGCUUGUGUAGAUGGGAAGGGGACCGGGAGUUGGAAGAAGCACAUGGCGAGGGAGGUAAACAUGAAGAACUGGGAUGUGUCCUGUCCACCCCCAACUCUCCCUGCAAACACAAUCAGCAUGUGCUGCAAACAUGGGCUGAUAACAAAUGCCAAAAAUGGGUGGCUGCGUCUAACCACGUGCAAACGUGCAAAUCCUUCCCCAGCUGGGCAGCACUGUGGGACUCAGCCUGAAGUGGAGCGAGCAGAGCCUGGGUCUCCCUGCUGAGCUGAUUUGUUCUUUGGAGACAGGGUUUCAGUAAGCCACUAAGGCCCAGGUUGGGCUCAAACUCAUGAUCCUCCUUCGUCAGCCUCGCAGCACGCUGCUGUUACAGGCCUCUGCCUCCAUGCCAGGCUAACAUUUUCUUCACACAGCUCCAGGGCAGCUGGGAUGCAGCCCAAGAAAGAUGCUUCAUAAAGGACUUCAUCCAUGUACGUAGCUUGGGCCACCCCAGUUAGCAAAUGCCCAGUAAGAGUCACCGUAUUUACCGCAGGGGAGAGGCUCUAGUCUCCAGCUCUGCAGUUGGCCAGGAGAGAUGAGCCGUGUGACAGCAGGGUCGCCGAGUGGUUUCCCACCAGCCCUUUGCAGACCCCAGUCCUGGAGGCACCCUCUGCUGCUCACCUUGCUCUCAGGUUCCCGAGGACUUCUUCACCCCAGGACAUUUGCACAUGCUUUGUCUUCCUGGAAGCUGUCUUCUCCCUCUCUUGGUUUGAGUUUAUCCAAACCAUUACUCAGGAGUGGGCUUCCUGUGAGUUUCUCAGGAGACCAUGCCGGGCCUGGCCUUGGAGCGCUCUACUCACAUGGGCCUGUGUGUGAUUUGAACACACUGCCUGCCUCCCCUCAAGAUAUGCAAGCUCCAUGAGACAGGAAGUCUUCCUGUUAUUCCCAGUUGAUACACCUGUGCGAGACUCAUUGCUACUUCCACUUGGGAACCUCAAUAAAUAGCAUCUGAUUAAUCAACACGUGCAUUUUACAGGAGCUUAGCUGUGGAUCAUCAUAGUUCUGUGCAGAAUAAGUCACCGUGCCCGGGGGUGCAGCUGGGGGCCGGGCCAAGUGACCUGGUGACUUCUGGCAAACCGCUGCACUAACACCUGGCUUCAAGAAAGAUGCUGUCCUGGGCUGCAUGUGGAUAUCAGAUCCUGACCUGCAGCACAUGGCAGGAGGAGUGAGGAGGGGACCCCAUAGGAGGCAGAAGCCGCGUGGGGAGAGGUGGCUUCCAGAUGCCCAUGCCACCCUGUCUGGUGCCUGGAGCUGCACUUGGAGACAGCGAGGCAGAGUCUGAAGACAGCGCUCAGCCACCAGCUGUGCACUAUGGAGGCCCAGGCUUCCUGCCAUGUGUGGACUGGGAGUGCGACAAUGACCACAGUGGUGGCCUUUGGAGAACAUGGCAAAGCUGGUGCCCCAGUCCACCCACGUCCGUGUGGGCCGGGCAGUGUCCACAGCCCAGAACUCCAAAGCCAAGUCAAGCCUUCACCAGGGAUGAGGCCCCCAGUCACACAGUUUGGCCACAGGACAAGCUGCACAAGGGGCAACAGGCUCAGAGGCCAAAGGCUCCAAGGCCCUGACCGGAAGCAGCCCGGGAGACCAGCGGCCCCCGACCACGGCCUCGCCGCACAUCCCGCUACUGCUGUGGGCGUCCAUCCCCACACUCCCAUUGCAGCUUUAUCCUCAGGAGCUGACGUGGCCAAGCACAGGCGCACUUACUGCCCAGCACCACUCCAUGCAAAGGACGACGAGGACGUUUGUAUCUAACCUGAUGCCGGGGACGUUUGAUGGACCUCAGAGGACAGUGACAGGGAUGCAGCAGGCCUGUGACUGAGCCCACAGGAAAGGCUGCCAGACUCUUGUCCACAACCAGGCAGGCGAGCCCCACCCGCACCUGGAGGCUGCCCCAGACUCUUUACGGGAGCCCGCACUGCUGGUGAAGCCCCGAGAUCUCUACCUUCCCCUCCCAGCCGGAAACGGGACGAAGGGAAGGCUCUGUUGGCCUGAACAGGCUGUGAUCCUCAGUGAGGCGGCGCUGACCCCAGCUUUUCUGCGAUUCUGGGCUUACCCAAGCACAAACACUUGGGAUGAAAGCUUUCUUGACACAGUGCUGAUGGCUGGUCUUUCUUUCUUUGCAGCCCCUGAGUUGGACCUCUGGAAAACAAAAUGCAGAACUUACACAAAAUCAUCAGGAAAUCGCCUAGAAGUCCGUUCUGGCAAAGGCUAUAUCCAUGUGUCAGACCUGCUACACACACCGCAUUCGGCGUCCUUUUAAACACCAGGGCACCAAACAGAAUCUUGAGAGCAGCCUCGGGCAUCCGUUUCAAGACCUUUGGCCUCCACUUUGAAAGUUCUUUGUAGGUUACUCUGUAUGCAUAAAGCCUGGAAGCCCUGGUAGCUGCUUCCGACUCCAGACCAUGCUUGUGAGCUCUAUAAAUAGGAGGUAUUCAUGUUCUCAAAAA